GAAGUUGACGGAGCGACGUUCGUGAAGGAUGAAGCCUUUGGGGUGUAAACUUCUUUUAACCGGGAGGAAGUCCGCAAGGACAGACAGUACCGGUGGAAUAAGGGGUUCCUAACUCUGUGCCAGCAGGAGCGGUAAUACAGAGACCCCGAGCGUUACCCGGAUUUAUUGGGCGUAAAGGGUUCGUAGGUGGUAUAUUAAGUUGGCGGUUAAAACUCAUCGGCUUAACCUUUGAGGUGCUGCCAAUACUGAUAAACUAAGAGGGCGUUAGAGGCUAAUGGAACCGACGGAGUAGGGGUGAAAUCCGUUGAUCUCGUCGGGAACACCAAAAGCGAAGGCAAUUAGCUGGGACGACCCUGACACUGAGGAACGAAAGCGUGGGUAGCAAAAAGGAUUAGAUACCCUUGUAGUCCACGCUGUAAAUGUUGGAUACUAGCUUUUGGCAGUGUCGACCCUGCCAGAGGCGAAGCUAACGCGUUAAGUAUCCCGCCUGGGAAGUACGGCCGCAAGGCUAAAACUCAAAGGAAUAGACGGGGACUCACACAAGCAGUGGAUCAUGUGGCUUAAUUCGACAACAAACGAAGAACCUUACCAGGACUAGAAACCUAACUGACCAUCUGAUGAAAGUCAGACUUCGC
rnacentral:rRNA from 1 species